UCUCUCAUUUGUUUACAGCGUGGUUAUAGGAGAAGGAGCCUUCCUCCCACAUUCACCCUGAUUUGCUCCUGGGGUGUUUAUGUGUCCCCCCAGGGUUGGCCCAAGACCUUUGGACACCUGAGAUGAAUCACAAAAAUGGUGUGCCUUCUGCCAGGGAAGAAGGAGCGAGUGAAAAUCAACGUCGGAAACAGCAUAGAAGUACGCAUUUGGAAAACAGUGUUGUGAUGCUGAUUCUGGAGACACUAGGUCACCCGGUUCCCUCUCACCUACUUUCAGAUUAUCCGGUCUCUUAGACAUUGAUCCUGGAGACAAUGAAAAAUACUGGCAGGCGAGCCAAAUCAACAGCGAUGUUAAUGAAGUUAUGAAUGAUUAACAAGGAUGCCAGUCACAAGGAACCAAUCCCACCAUGGAUUAAUCUACACCGGAUUUCAAAAAUGGAACCGCAUCAAUAUGUAGGCUAUAUAUUAAUGGUGUGUUACUCAGCUCGGCUAACUGAGUGAUUGAAGUUCUGUAUGCACUAAAGAUGUAUCAUUAAAAUAAAGAUAGUUAAUAAUUCAAGGUUUGCUACUCUCAGGCAGCACCAAAGCUGAGAAGAAGAAGCUCUAUCUAGCUAGUGCCAAACUCUACAAUUCUACCAAUUCCUAGAUUUGGUGUUUCAAAGGUUAAUAAAAGUUUUGUCUUGUUACCAGAAAAAAACAAACAAAAAACGUGGGGAGCAAGAAUUGUGGACCUAUUUUGAUAUAGAAAGAUUGUCCUACACUUUUCAUAAAAAAUGACAAAAGCUUAUCGGUUUAACACUGACUCCCUUGUUUAGAUUUUUAUGGGAAAAUAAGACAAUUGAUCAAAAGAAAACUGAACUGUCAAUUUCAAGGAGAAAAACCCAUUCAUAAUUAACAGCACCUUUAAAAACAAAAACCAAAACCCUCCUAAUUGUGUUAAGUUGGAUACAGCCCAUAGAAACAAUUUAUAACUAAGCUGCCCUUCCCAGGCUCUGUGGGGCUACAACAGAUCACCACUAGAGGACAAGAGGGCAGGUCUUUUUCCCAAGGGCUCCUUUACUGGAUUGUGGGAGACUGGUGUUUGUUUUGUUUUUUCCGUUCCUUUCAGGCUUUCUGCUAUGCUGACUAAGAAUCCAUCUGAAGCGGUGUCUACCUUGCUUCUCUUAAAUCCACAUGAAGGCUGUUACAACUUUAGACAGGGAUAAUGUGGGGCUGAGUAAACAUACUAAGAAACUGGCAAGCACCCUGGGACAUCUCCCAUAGAGGAAACACCUUGAGAGCCUCUUGUAGGGGAUUGAGAAGUUGGUGGGUGGGUGUGGCAGUGCCCAAGAUCACCCCUUGGGUCUGCCUUUUCUCCUAUAGAAAUUGAGGUGCACUUGGGUGAAGUAGAUCCCUUCAACAUUGCACCCACUCUUCCUAGGGCAGUGAGUUUGAGUAAGAUCUUGAGAUCAGGAGCUUUUGGGUUGAUCUCCCUUCCCCAGAGCAAGUUGGCAGGGUCUGUCUUUAGUUGCUCUUACAUAUAACAAUUUAGGUGGGCAAUAGCCACUGAUAAACAAGAUCAGUGUGACUGGAGCAUGACUGCAGAGCUCUUUCCUUGACCUGAGCUUUGAUUACAUUAAAAAGGAGGAUUAAUUCAAUCAGUGAGAUGAAAGGCAAAUCAUUGUUAAACAUUGGGUAGCCUGAAGGUGCUGACAUCUCUCAAUCCCAAUAGCAUUUAUUUAGUUCACCAAAGAAAUAUAUAUCUAUAUAUCUAUGGAGCAUGCAUGCAUGCAAGCAAACCCACCCUCCACAUUUCCCCCUCUUUCCUGUGAGGGGGGAGGACGAGGAAUGCUCUCCAUGAAGUAAGAGCCCCCAACCAUACUAUUGGAACUUUUUUUGUGUGUCUUCCAAAUGGGAGUCUCAGGAGAGCUUAAAAAAAUUAAAAGGGAGGAGGUUAAGAAAGGAGGGGGGCGAAUGAGAGGGGUUAGAUAACCUCUGCAA
rnacentral:lncRNA from 1 species